CCAGACCCAGAGCCCCAGGGAGCUCCAAGUGAGGUCUGGGCUGUGGUUUCCCAAGACAACACAGAGACACCAGAGAGCACAGGGAGGGCCUGGGAGGAGCCAGAAAAAGGAGGCGCUGUGAGUCCCAGCAUCGUGUCCUCUGCAGGGAGCCCAUAUCCCCUACCCCUGGGCAGCUGGGUCGGAUCCACCUUGCCUGGACAGCUGGAGCCUUCACCAGGCAGAACUGCACAGCUCAGCAGGGCUGUGGCAGAAGCAAACAAAGGGCUUCAUGAACUAUCGUGGCCUGGACACAGGUCAACACAUGGUAGUGUCAAGUCUACUCAACAUGAAGAUGAGGAUGAAGACUUAGAAUGAUCUACUUCCACUUAAUACAUGGAUAAAAAUUGAAGCUGGCCUACUUGACAUCUCCAAUUAGGCCCUGAGCUCUUCUUCCUCACUUGCUACCAUGUCUUCCUGGGCAUCUCAGCAGCUCUGAGCUGCUCCUUGUUCCCAGAGCCAGCCUGUCUCCUACACGGGGACCAGUCCUCUUGGUAUCCAGGUGCCACACAGCGUUUCCUCCUAAUUGCCUGAGAAACCCCGAGCAUCCUUUUUUCCUAAGCCUUCCCUGACCUCUCCAGAGCAAAAUCCUUCACUCCACUGUGACACUUCAUGUCUGUUCCUCAUCUCAUCAUUUGUGUAUAGCAUUGUCCCUUUUUAAAGAUUUAGUUCCCUUUUUCUGGUUACCAAAGAACUGUGCAUUUAUUAUAAAAUAUAAAGUACAGGAACGCAUGAGUGUACAAAUGGACCCACCCUGUAACUCCACUAACAUCAGCGUAUAUUUCAGUUAUUCUGUGUUUCUGCAUCUGUCUCUCCCAUGCAAGGGACGCUGCUGGUUGGGGAGUCACAGGGGAGAUGCCUCCUUUCCCUCUGAAGACCCUCUGACAGUCGAGGGGGUACAGAGCUAGACAGAGCAGAUGCCAGGGCCCCAGUUCCAUAUCCCAGACAUGUGUGUAUCUUUUUCCUACAGCACCGCCCUCCUCCUGAUAAGACCCUGGAAAAAGGCAACAUGGGAUAGAUUUCACGGCACAGGCCGAGUGCAGGGCAGCCUUCCUGCUGCAAAUGUUUGGCUAGGGUGGGAGAAAGAGAACUCUGAUUUUAAAACCCACAGGAUCAAGGAAAGCAUGUAAGCCCAGACUUCUAAUGGGGGUAGCAUUUGAGAGCAGAGCUGAGGGCUUCUUUUGAGCUGCAUGCCACAAAGAGCAAUGUAGAAAUACAGUGAGGGAUAGAUUCACCAAAAACUGGAAGACUGAGCUGAGAUGAAAUCCCAGGCCAGUCUGGUACCCAAACAAAUGCCCCGCUUUGCUCCACAUUGACCCUCAGCCAGGAACAAAGGAGAAUAGGAUUAUUCUGAGACGACCCAACUCCAGGGCUGGAGACUGACGUGUAGACAGUGUAUUCUGAACAUCAGGGUGACUCAGGUGAUGGAGACCUUGGAAGGGGCCGUCGUCUCUCGGGUGGGACUGUCAGAAAGUCAGACGUUGUCUUCAACAUGCUUUCCACACAUCUCACGAUCUUUCUGGCCUUUUUUCCACCAGAUGGUCAUUACCCUUGAACAUAUGGGAAUCUGAUCUUGGCUGGAUGUCAGAAGUUGACUUGGUUUGAAAGUAUUAUUCACUUGAAGUAUUCAAAACAGAAUUCAUUUAGUCAACAGGGCUUUGUUUUAAAAGUAAACAGGUGGAAAAUAGCAGAUCGUGCCUUCAAACAGCAGCCGAGUAAUAGCACGUGACAGCUGGACCUGUGUGUUGCCAGACUUAAUGGAAAUGGCCUGCGUGGUCCCGAUCACUCUGCGUGCUCUGGCCACUCCGGGAUAUGAAUAGUUUCUAAAUGAUGUGUAUAGUCAUUUACAAGAUCCAUGGCCAGUCCAGCAGGAACUGCCUGGGUCACUGACAGAAAGGCUAAGAGAACCUGGUGACAGAUACAGGUUUUAGGAGCCUGCUUGACCUGUGUCUCAACCUUCUCACACUGUCCCCAUGCCAUUAGGAUCCCCCAGUUCAC